rnacentral:rRNA from 1 species
GACGAACGCUGGCGGCGUGCCUAACACAUGCAAGUCGAACGGAGAUAUGAUUUCGGUUGUAUCUUAGUGGCGAACGGGUGAGUAACGCGUGAGCAACCUGACUCUUAGAGGGGGAUAACACCCGGAAACGAGUGCUAAUACCGCAUAAGACCACGACCCGGCAUCGGGAUGAGGUCAAAGGAGCAAUCCGCUGAGAGAGGGGCUCGCGUCCCAUUAGAUAGAUGGCGGGGUAACGGCCCACCAUGUCAACGAUGGGUAGGCGAGCUGAGAGGCUGAGCGGCCACACUGGAACUGAGACACGGUCCAGACUCCUACGGGAGGCAGCAGUGGGGAAUAUUGGGCAAUGGGCGCAAGCCUGACCCAGCAACGCCGCGUGAGGGAAGGAGGCUUUCGGGUUGUAAACCUCUGUCCUUGGUGACGAAACAAAUGACGGUAGCCAAGGAGGAAGCCCCGGCUAACUACGUGCCAGCAGCCGCAGUAA